GCAGGGGUCGCCAAGUCUGGUCAAAGGCGCAGCGCUCAGGACGCUGUCUCUUAGGAGUUCGUGAGUUCAAAUCUCACCCCCUGCA
rnacentral:tRNA from 1 species